GAUGCACAGACCUUGCCCUGGCUGUCUGCACAGGGCUGAAUUUCACCCCUUCCGAGUGUAUUAUAUGGGCAUUCUUGGGGGCGCAGAUUGCAUCAGACCUGCACCUGAAUAAAUAAUAGGGACUGAAAUAUGCAGACACUGAAGUUUUGCAGCCAAAUUCUCAGGAACCUUCCUCUUCAAUAUAGGAUCAGGAUUUUGUUUUGAAUUGUUUUAUUUUUUUUAAAAGUGCUAAGCAGAUGCUACCCUGUAAGAAGAGGAAACAGAAGGGAAAAGUGAAAGACUGUUACUAAAACCAAUGAACAGCUGCAGAGAGUGGAGACCCGGCAAAGCAGACAAAUGAAUACUGGAAAGGAUCCCCAAAGGAGGUGUAAGGAUCCGGGACUCUAGUGUCUGCCAGAAGCUUCAGCCACCUUCACAGGUUAGAGCUCGCCCUCCAUUGCGGAGGUGAAGACCGGAUGGGAGC